CAACUCCAGGAUUCGUCGAUCAUGUGUAAUUAAGUUUGAUCGGCGUCUCCUGAAGUGAAG
rnacentral:pre_miRNA from 1 species